CCUACGGGAGGCUGCAGUGGGGAAUUUUGGGCAAUGGCCGAAAGGCUGACCCAGCGACGCCGCGUGUGGGAGGAAGCCCUUCGGGGUGUAAACCACUGUCAGGGGGGACGAAUGUACGGGGAGGGAAUACUUCUUCGUAGUGACGGUACCCCCAAAGGAAGCACCGGCUAACUCUGUGCCAGCAGCCGCGGUAAUACAGAGGGUGCAAGCGUUGUUCGGAAUCACUGGGCGUAAAGCGCGCGCAGGCGGAGAUGCAAGUCGGAAGUGAAAUCCAGCCGCUCAACGGCUGGGCUGCUUCGGAUACUACAUCUCUAGGGACCGGUAGAGGCUGGUAGAAUUGCAGGUGUAGCGGUGGAAUGCGUAGAGAUCUGCAAGAAUACCCGUGGCGAAGGCGGCCAGCUGGGCCGGGUCCGACGCUGAGGCGCGAAAGCGUGGGGAGC
rnacentral:rRNA from 1 species